rnacentral:rRNA from 1 species
AUGAGUGACAACUACUGCUUGAUCAUGAGUUGGAAUGUGUGUGACAUGAACAUGCCGGCUAGGCGUGACGCGAUCAAAGAGGUAGUUUCUGCCCACAAAGUAGUGAUCCUUUAUUUGCAAGAAACAAAGAUUGAGAGCUGGAGCCCAAGCUUUGUCAGGGAUGUAGGUGGCCUCCAGCUCCAAGGCUGCGUCGUGCUCCCGGCGAUCGGCACCAGGGGAGGUGCCGCCAUCUUCAGGGAUAGCAAUAUAGUUUCGGCUGUCUCUAGUGUUGUUGGCUAG